GGCUUCGUAGCUCAGUUGCUAGAGCGCUUGCCGCAAUGAGGCAUGUUUCUGUCGCUGGUUCGAAUCCAGCCAAAGCCC
rnacentral:tRNA from 1 species